AGUACACGCGAGUCCAGAGGACUCCCUGCGCUGAGGCGGCGGAACGUCAAACAAAAUGCAGGGACAUCAGAGAAGGAAUUUCGAUACAGCCCUUAGUCCCCUUGCUCAGGUUGUGGAACAAAGGUCCAUAACAAAGCAGGACAGUCGGGUUCAAAUAAAAGACAAAAUAUUCAAGGACAAAAAAAAAAGUCUAAAACAUCAAAUACAAAGAAGCACAACAACACAGAUCACAAGCUGAUGGCAGUUACAGAAGUUAAAGAGCCUUCCUCCAGGCAUUUCCCCACAAUGAUAAAAAAAAACACUGAAGCAAUUCCGAUAACUAA